GAACUAACAAGGAUUCCCCUAGUAACUGCGAGUGAAGCGGGAAAAGCUCAAAUUUGAAAUCUGGCAGCCAUGAGGUUGUCCGAGUUGUAAUCUAGAGAAGUGUCAUCCGCGUUGGACCAUGUACAAGUCUCCUGGAAUGGAGCAUCAUGGAGGGUGACAAUCCCGUCUUUGACAUGGACUACCAAUGCUUUGUGAUGCACUCUCGAAGAGUCGAGUUGUUUGGGAAUGCAGCUCCAAAUGGGUGGUAAAUUCCAUCUAAAGCUAAAUAUUGGCGAGAGACCGAUAGCGAACAAGUACCGUGAGGGAAAGAUGAAAAGGACUUUGGAAAGAGAGUUAAACAGUACGUGAAAUUGCUGAAAGGGAAACGCUUAAAGUCAGUUGCAUUGACUGGGAAUCAGCCCUGCAUCCUGUUGGUAUGCUGGGUGUACUUUCCAGUUGAUGGGUCAGCAUCAGUUUUGAACAUUGGAUAAAGGUAUGAGGAAUGUGGCAUUUAUUUAUAAAUGUGUUAUAGCCUCAUAUUGUAUGCAAUGGUUGGGACUGAGGAACACAGCACGCCGAAAGGCCAGAGAGUUAUCUCAUGUUCGUGCUUAGGAUGGCUGGCAAAAUGGCUUUAAUCGACCCGUCUUGAAACACGGACCAAGGAGUCUAACAUGCCUGCGAGUAUUUGGGUGGAAAACCCAUAUGCGCAAUGAAAGUGAAAGUUGAGAUCCCUGCCAGGAGCAUCGACACCCAGACUUGACGUUUUCUGACAGUUCUGCGGUAGAGCAUGUAUGUUGGGACCCGAAAGAUGGUGAACUAUGCCUGAAUAGGGUGAAGCCAGAGGAAACUCUGGUGGAGGCUCGUAGCGAUUCUGACGUGCAAAUCGAUCGUCAAAUUUGGGUAUAGGGGCGAAAGACUAAUCGAACCAUCUAGUAGCUGGUC
rnacentral:rRNA from 1 species